rnacentral:lncRNA from 1 species
GUGGCAAAUUUCAAACAGCCAACACCUGUUCUUGGCAAUGCUUUGCCCUCCCCUGUAGCUCAACGUUUUCUGUUUAGUAAUCAUAAAAAAUAAAUAAAUGCAUUUACUCACAUAAAACAGAUGAGCUGACCAAUGUGAUACUAAUACAGCUGUUGUUCACAGCAGGGUGUUUCUGUUAGUCAUGGGCAUGCCUUAUACAGUUGCAUCCCAAUAACAAUGAACUGCAAUCUGGCGUGUAUAAGUUCUGGCCCCUGCUACAUGAAAUGAAUGAUGUGGUGGAUUUACUCUGGGAGGGUGUUGUCUGAGAAUCGUCUUGACUCCAGAGGCCUGUAGAUGGCAAUCUUGCGCUGCAUUGGAGAAGCAAUUCCCAAUAUCCUGCACAGCUCCUGGUCGCGGACCAAGAUGGGUACCAGCAAGGGGAGUAAGGCGAGUAAGGGGAGUUGGCCUCCUCCUCACAAUUGCAGCUGUCAUCACUUAUUGCCAGCCCUGGGUCUCCAUCCAACCAUGCCACAACAUCUGGGUCACCCUCACCAACGUGACGUGACAAGAAGCAAUGUGCCUGUCCUUGGCUAGUGAUAAUGACCCGUUUAUGACAUGUCUGGUGGGGAACCGGCAGAUAACAAAGAUUGGACUGUUUACUUACUGCAAAUGCCCCUAGAGCCACAGGAAUUAGAUAUCCUGGGAAGUGUAACAGCAACAGCAUGUGUAAGGCUUAAUUGCUCGGGCAAAAACCAAACCAUGAAACAAAUCGUCAAUGCCACACUUGCUCCUUAUUGCAAUGCAUCUCUUUGGUGUAAUUAUACAAAGCUAUAAUAGCAUAAUUCCUUGCAUCAGGAGCUGCUCUGCUCGGCUGUGGGAUCGACUGUGGAGCAGACACCCCUAGGUGCACCCCAAGCAUUUUCCUUGGAGGGGUCUCCACUCUCAGCCAUUCACUGGGGGAGUAGACAAGGACCUCCUGAAGCCACGGACAAAUUUUUUCAAGUGAUAUUUUCCUGUGGUAUGAAUGAGAAGUGCAAGAGGCCUCUUUAUGUGAUUGUGCUGUGCAAGUGAGAUGCAGCAUUGCUGUGAAGCAACAACCCUAGUGCCUAGUGGCUUGUUGACUGAUGUAUAUUCUAGUAGGCACACUACUUUGCAAUUGUAAUUCUGCUUGUGAUUUUCACCCUGUUGCUUAUUGUACUUUGCUCAUUGCAAUGUCUAUGGUGCUUGAUAGAAAAAUCUAUAGAAAGUGUUUGGUUGGUUGAAAAUAAAAACAGGGGAAUUGUGGGAAAGGAAUUUGCAGGUGGCUUUGCGCUGUUUCACACGUCCCUGAACUAGAGGUUAUGAUGAAGUAAGCAGUAGAAACAAAAACUUGAGCAAGGUCGAGAUAAAUUAACUUGGCUACAGUGUUAAAGAUGAGCUUUGGGCAGUGGCCAAUUGCUGGCUGGCUUGAGGCUCGUGUUU